CUUCUUGAGGCUCUGACAGGAGCUGUCCAUCUCAAGAUCAGUAAGGAACUCCACUGAGCACAAAUCAAGAGGUAGUCCCAUCCCAGCAAGUCAGGUGACCAAAGGAAGUUGUGGCCACGCAUCUUGGACGUAACAAAUAGAAACAAUAAGCAAGAGGAUUUAUGGAGAAGGGGGUGGGAGAAAUGGAGGGCACUGUUUGCUUUUUCAUUUCGUCCCUUGGUGGGCAUCCUGGUUUGAGAAGAUGCUGUCAAAGCCUUUCAUCAUAAUGCUUACCUAUCCACUCUCUUCUUCCCACCGAUUAUGGCCAGAUGGAGAUUAUCAACCAGAGGAACUCCGAAUAGUUCGUCCGGGUGUACUAAGUCCUUUGGUAUCGGAGGAGAGAGAGUAUCACCGUGAUCGAGAGUCAACACGCCCUGGAUUCCAAUCCUGGCACCUGUCCUCUGUCAACCUCAGUUCCCUCAAAUGUAAAAUAGGGACCAACAGUACCUGUACCGUGAGCUUUUCCAGCUUCCCUCCUCCCCUCGCCCCACUCGCCAUCCAGCCCCGUUUAAGCCCACUGCUGACAGACGGACUUCCGCUCCUGCCGAAUAUCGCCCUGCCCAGCCAAGAAUAUUCUAUGCACGCCUUGUUGCUGGAAUGCAAUGCUUGGGUCAGCCUUGCCUCCUGAGUGUGGUCCCUCACUAUCAAUGGUGAAAGAAGUUGCUAUUUGUCAUGAGGGCUGGAUCCCCAAAUGCUGCACUCUCUUGGGCCAGAGAGAGCUCCUCGCAUGACUCUGACACCUGCUGAGGCCUUCAGGAUGCUGGCUCCCUCAUUGUGGCUGCACUUCUUCAUUUCGCAAGCUUCUUGGAGUGAUGAGUAUUAGGGCACAGUUUCAAAAGUAUCCCAACAGGAGAUUUUGGAGUCCACCGCUGAGUAUAAAUCUGGACAUCCCUUCCCCUAGGCAAGCUGCUUCUCCUGUAAUUGGUGCACUCAAUUUCUUGCCCCCUAUUAACACUCUUAUUUUAGUCCCAGGACUGAGCUGGCUUUUGUCAAGGGGGAGAGGGGUUGGUGUUUGUUCCUAGCACCUGUAGCCUGGCCUGAGGAUGCCCUUUUUGCCUCCUGCAACACACCCUCCUUUUUCUACAGGGCUCAGUGCUGUUUUUCAAAGAGUGCUCAUGAGGCCUUCCCAUCUUUGAGUGCAUGGAGGGAUGUGGUCCUUCCCAGGGUCCACACGCUGAGCCCGGGGUCCAGCCUGAGUAGCAGAGGUUGGUCCUGAUACUGGCUCCAUAGACAGCAGCCAGACUGUGGCCAGAGAGGGUGAAGGGAGAGGCCUGCUCAUGGCUGUUAGAGCCAUACCCUGGUAACUCAUUGUCCUGCCACCCUGAGAUUGUCCCUUCCCUCAAGGAACUCUCUAGCUAGUAGGGGAAAGAUACGUAAUACGUAAUUGAUACAUUGUGAUGGAUGCUAUCAAGCAGGUGUGCACUAAGCCCAGUGCUGGCAUGUAGGAGAAAGGAGGCUGUAUCUGCAUGGAGAGGUCAGCAAGGGCUCCCAGAGGAGGUGACAUCUAGAGUGAAUUCUCAACGAUUAGCAAGAGUGACCCAGCUAGACGGGAACGGACAAUCUAGCUAUAGUGAAUCCUUUGCACUCUCCAAGGAUCCUCUCCUCUCCUCUCCUUCUCCCUCGACCACGCUGGAGAUUCCUUGAUUAGUGGAGGCUGACUGUGACAGGCCUCCAGGGUGUUUCCAAUAGCGCAGGCAGAAGAAGAAAGUAGGGAGGGAUAAAUACAGAAACAGCUGGCUUCCAUCUUCCAAAAAUCCCCAUUCAAACUAGCCGUUUAAAAAUCUCUUCCAG
ensembl:lncRNA